rnacentral:sRNA from 1 species
AAUAAAGAAGAAGAAAAAAA